rnacentral:pre_miRNA from 1 species
AAUAAGAUCAUUUUUUAGUUUUUAGAUAUAAUGCUUUGACUCUUCGUCUUAUUUGAAUUUUUUUUGCAUUAAUAUGUUUAUUGUUACUAGAUGAUAAAACAUGAAUAGUAUUUUAUACAUGACUAAGUUUCUUAAUUUUUUAUGUAAAUUUUUCAAAUAAGACGAAUAGUUAAGCUUUGGACAAAGAAAUC